UUUGCCUGAGUUUUUUUAUGAUUUUUUCCCUGGUGUUACAGAUUUGGAAGAAUAGCAGAAAUGCAAAAUGUUUCUCACUACAUCUCAUCAGGAGACAUCUGAUAUCAACCCAAUUAUCACUGGUGAUGUUAACCUUGACCACUUGACUGAGUUGUAUAUGCCAGGUUCUCCACUGUAAAAUUACCUUUUUUUUUUUUUUUUCUCCUUUCCACUCUCCAUUCAUUAGAGGUGAAUCACUAAAGCUGGUCACCAUUCCAGGGAUAGGGAAUUAAGCUCUACUUCCUGAAGGGAGAAGUAUCAAAACAUUUGUGCACCUACAUUAAAAUCACUAUAUAGUUAAUGCACAUCUGUGGGGAGAUACUUGGAGGCAAUGUGUACAUCCUGUUUCUCUGAAAAGUUUCACCCACUGAUUUUAGCUUUCAGAGGGGUCUUGCCUGCUGCAACUGUUACUGUGGCAUAGAUCUUUAUUUCUCUCAUUCUUUCUAUAUUGAUUAUUGAAGUUCUUAGAGGAAAGCCCACCCCUUCUCCUUCACGUAGGUAUUUAUCCAAUCAUUUAUUUAUAUCAGUACAGACUUAGGGCUAUUUACUUUGUUCUCUGUCAUAUAACCUGUAGUGUGCCUUUAUCCGUGGUUUUACCUUCUGAUUUCAGUUACCCGCAGUCAACCAGGGUCUGGAAACAGAUGAUUCUCCUUCUGACAUAAGGUCAGAAGGUCAAUAGUAGCCUAACGCUCUGUCACGGUGCCUACGUCAUUCACGUCACUUCACCUCAUCACGCAGGCAUUUUAUCAUCUCACAUCGUCACAAGAAGAAAGACAUCCACUGGGGAUCUUGGAUAACCCUUCCAUUGGAUAAUGGAAGGAUGAUUGCACUACCACUGUUUCAUUGUUCACAUCGUUCUAGCUUUUGCUAUGGUGCUAUGGGCAACUCUUUAAGAUGAUGAAGAGAUUCUGCCUCAAGAUGGCAGGAUCAAUUCCCGCCUGAGUUUCCAGACUGCUGGCCCAGCCUACAGGUCUCAGACUUGGAGUCCCAUGAUCACGUGAGCUAUGUACAAUCACAUACACCUGUGUGUAUGCCUGUGUAUGCACAUGUGUGUGCAUGUAUGCAUGUGAGUAUAUGUAUCUAUCUAUAUAUGUAUAUA